CGCCUGUUUACCAAAAACAUCACCUCUAGCAUAACAAGUAUUAGAGGCAUUGCCUGCCCAGUGACUAAAGUUAAACGGCCGCGGUAUCCUGACCGUGCAAAGGUAGCAUAAUCACUUGUUCCUUAAUUAGGGACUAGAAUGAAUGGCUAAACGAGGGUUCAACUGUCUCUUACUUUCAAUCAGUGAAAUUGACCUUCCAGUGAAGAGGCUGGAAUACUACAAUAAGACGAGAAGACCCUAUGGAGCUUUAAUUUACUAGUUUAAUUUAUAUAAUAACAACCUAAUGGACCAAGACAAAAUAAAUAUAAACUAAAAAAUUUCGGUUGGGGUGACCUCGGAGAAUAGAAAAUCCUCCGAAUGAUUUUAACCUAGACCUACAAGUCAAAGUAAUAUUAAUAUCUUAUUGACCCAAUUAUUGAUCAACGGACCAAGUUACCCUAGGGAUAACAGCGCAAUCCUAUUUAAGAGUUCAUAUCGACAAUUAGGGUUUACGACCUCGAUGUUGGAUCAGGACAUCCCAAUGGUGCAGAAGCUAUUAAUGGUUCGUUUGUUCAAC
rnacentral:rRNA from 1 species